GCAAGUUGAGCGCUGAAGGUUGGUACUUGUACCGACUGGAUGAGCAGCCAUUGGGUGAGUAACGCGUGGGGAAUCUGCCUUUGAGCGGGGCAUAACAUUUGGAAACGAAUGCUAAUACCGCAUAAAAACUUUAAACACAAGUUUUAAGUUUGAAAGAUGCAAUUGCAUCACUCAAAGAUGAUCCCGCGUUGUAUUAGCUAGUUGGUGAGGUAAAGGCUCACCAAGGCGAUGACACAUAGCCGACCUGAGAGGGUGAUCGGCCACAUUGGGACUGAGACACGGCCCAAACUCCUACGGGAGGCAGCAGUAGGGAAUCUUCGGCAAUGGACGAAAGUCUGACCGAGCAACGCCGCGUGAGUGAAGAAGGUUUUCGGAUCGUAAAACUCUGUUGGUAGAGAAGAACGUUGGUGAGAGUGGAAAGCUCAUCAAGUGACGGUAACUACCCAGAAAGGGACGGCUAACUACGUGCCAGCAGCCGCGGUAAUACGUAGGUCCCGAGCGUUGUCCGGAUUUAUUGGGCGUAAAGCGAGCGCAGGUGGUUUAUUAAGUCUGGUGUAAAAGGCAGUGGCUCAACCAUUGUAUGCAUUGGAAACUGGUAGACUUGAGUGCAGGAGAGGAGAGUGGAAUUCCAUGUGUAGCGGUGAAAUGCGUAGAUAUAUGGAGGAACACCGGUGGCGAAAGCGGCUCUCUGGCCUGUAACUGACACUG
rnacentral:rRNA from 1 species